rnacentral:rRNA from 1 species
GCUAUCACUUACAGAUGGACCCGCGGCGCAUUAGCUAGUUGGUGAGGUAACGGCUCACCAAGGCAACGAUGCGUAGCCGACCUGAGAGGGUGAUCGGCCACACUGGGACUGAGACACGGCCCAGACUCCUACGGGAGGCAGCAGUAGGGAAUCUUCCGCAAUGGACGAAAGUCUGACGGAGCAACGCCGCGUGAGUGAUGAAGGUUUUCGGAUCGUAAAACUCUGUUGUUAGGGAAGAACAAGUACCGUUCGAAUAGGGCGGUACCUGAC